rnacentral:rRNA from 1 species
AUGCCAGAAGGCUGGAACAAUACGAUGAUUGUCUUAAUCCCAAAAACAGCAAAGCCAGAAAAAUUGAAAGAUUUGAGACCAAUAAGUCUCUGCAAUGUACUUUACAAGGUGGUCUCCAAGGUGAUAACGCGUAGACUAAAAACCAUUCUACCUGACAUCAUAUCCUUGAAUCAAAGUGCAUUUGUGUCGGGCCGCAUGAUCUCAGACAAUAUCCUAUUGGCGUAUGAACUUUCACAUUUUCUCCGUAGAAGAGGAAAGGGAGGCACAUGCUACGCGGCACUCAAGUUGGAUAUGAGUAAAGCAUAUGAUAGGGUAGAAUGGAAAUUCUUAAAUGAUAUGAUGAUCCAAAUGGGAUUUAACAGGAGUUGGGUUAAGCUAGUGAUGAAGUGCAUUACAACAGUAAAAUAUCAAGUGAAGGUCAAUAGAGAUGUCACAUAA